rnacentral:rRNA from 1 species
AUUGAACGCUGGCGGCAUGCUUUACACAUGCAAGUCGAACGGUAGCGCGGGGCAACCUGGCGACGAGUGGCGAACGGGUGAGUAAAGCAUCGGAACGUGCCCUGGAAUGGGGGAUAACGUAGCGAAAGUUACGCUAAUACCGCAUAUUCUGUGAGCAGGAAAGCAGGGGAUCGCAAGACCUUGCGUUCUGGGAGCGGCCGAUGUCGGAUUAGCUAGUUGGUGGGGUAAAAGCCUACCAAGGCGACGAUCCGUAGCGGGUCUGAGAGGAUGAUCCGCCACACUGGGACUGAGACACGGCCCAGACUCCUACGGGAGGCAGCAGUGGGGAAUUUUGGACAAUGGGCGGAAGCCUGAUCCAGCCAUGCCGCGUGAGUGAAGAAGGCCUCGGUUGU